GACGUAGGGCGCGAGCGUUGUCCGGAUUUAUUGGGCGUAAAGAGCUCGUAGGCGGCUUGUUGCGUCGGCUGUGAAAACCCAUGGCUCAACCGUGGGCUUGCAGCCGAUACGGGCAGGCUAGAGUUCGGUAGGGGAGACUAGAAUUCCUGGUGUAGCGGUGAAAUGCGCAGAUAUCAGGAGGAACACCGGUGGCGAAGGCGGUUCUCUGGGCAUUACCUGACGCUGAGGAGCGAAAGCGUGGGGAGCGAACAGG
rnacentral:rRNA from 1 species